AUUUUUAUUUAGCCAAAUCCCUUUCUCUCUCCCACCCUACCCGAUCCAUACUUUCCUUUCUCCCUCUCUCUCGUAUGCUCUCUGCUAGUCCCGAACGGCUGCCCUUCGAUGGUCGCCGUCGUGCAGACAUCAGAUCAGGAGUACCAGACACCGCCGAAACUCCAGCCUCGCGAGCCCUUCAUUGCCGUUCUCCGCCACGAGCAGAAGCCUCCAGGCUCGUACGUCGCUGUCGUGGCUUCAAGGCCAGUUUCUGGCCUCCUUCGACAUCGUCUAAGGCGAAAGGUAGCAUGGGUGAACUCAGGGUAUCAAGACGAACAAAGCCCAGCCAAGGAUCGGGCUUUUAAGUGACCGGAGGAUCGGGCUAAAAUAUUGAUAAGGUUGUUCGUGAGCAUAACCCGAAAGGUAGAGAUGUUGAACUAUUUCGCUGGCAUCUAUAUGGUGAUGGUAAAUUGGUGAUAUUGCUCACUUUUAUAUGAGUCAGUUACCUGGCUACCACCUGAAUCAUAUUAUUAUGUGCUUAUUUUUAAUCAGAUCUGUGAAUGUUAAUGCUCUGCUCUUAUACUAUCCAAUUUGUAAUCAUGUAUGUUUUCAAGGGAAUUUCCUUUUAUUAUUUUGUUCUUUGUUGUCAUUUUAAAAUGGGUACACAACUUAUGUUUAUACAUAUGUUUUCAAUGUUUGAUAAAGCCAACUAUUACCUCAUGCUGCAUCAAUUGUACGCCUCAUCUCAGUCUACUUUACGAAGUGUGCCUUUCCAGAAUUGAGGACCAAGAUAUAUUCAAUUAGGAAGAUAUUGUUGCUAUCCAUGGGUGUUGGGAUCAAGGAAUAUCACAGGGCUGACUUUUAGGUGGAUGUCUAGAUUUAUUAAGAAGAAUAUUAACAAAAGAAACAUGAUUGAGCUUGUAGUGAUUUGGAGAAGAGAAUUAUAUUGUCUUGUUGAGAUUUAUUGUAUUAUAUUUUUUUGAAGUUUAUAGAUUUAUAAUAUUAUAAUGAAUUUUUAUUGAGAAUUAUUUAGUCUCACGGGGAUUUUAUGUAUUUAUAUUUCAAUUGUAUGAAUAAAUGUUGUAUGUA